UUAAUAUAAGAGCAAGUCCCUUAUAUAAUUCCAGGAAUAGGGCCUGGAAGUCUCUACCGGGCGGCCGUAAACCGCCCUGGCUAUAAGGGUUGGCCGGUUAUUA
rnacentral:ncRNA from 2 species